rnacentral:rRNA from 1 species
UAACCUGCCCAAUGAGGAAUUUAAUGGCCGCAGUAUUUUGACUGUGCAAAGGUAGCAUAAUCAUUAGUUUCUUAAUUAGAAACUGGAAUGAAAGGUUGGACGAGAAAAUAACUGUCUCUUAAUAAAUUUUUUAGAAUUUUAUUUUUAAGUUAAAAAGCUUAAAUAAAUUUAAAAGACGAGAAGACCCUAUAGAGUUUUAUUAAUUUUAUAAUGAAAUUAUUAUUUAGAAAUUUAUUUAAUUUUUAUUAUAUAAUUAAUUUGAUUGGGGUGAUUAAAAAAUUUAAAUAACUUUUUUUUUAUUUAACCAUUAAUUUAUGAAUUAUUGAUCCAUUUUUAUGAUUAUAAGAUUAAAUUACCUUAGGGAUAACAGCGUUAUUUCUUUUUAGAGUUCUAAUCGAUAAAGAAGUUUGCGACCUCGAUGUUGGAUUAAAAUUAAUUUUUGGUGUAGAAGCUAAAAUAUUAGGUCUGUUCGACCUUUAAAAUUUUACAUGAUCUGAGUUUAAACCGGUGUGAGCCAGGUUGGUUUCUAUCUUUAAAAAGAUAAUUAUAUUUUAGUACGAAAGGACCAAGUAUUAUAAAAAUUUUAU